rnacentral:rRNA from 1 species
GACGAACGCUGGCGGCGUGCCUAAUACAUGCAAGUAGAACGCUGAAGGAGGAGCUUGCUUCUCUGGAUGAGUUGCGAACGGGUGAGUAACGCGUAGGUAACCUGCCUGGUAGCGGGGGAUAACUAUUGGAAACGAUAGCUAAUACCGCAUAAGAGUAGAUGUCGCAUGACAUUUGCUUAAAAGGUGCAAUUGCAUCACUACCAGAUGGACCUGCGUUGUAUUAGCUAGUUGGUGAGGUAACGGCUCACCAAGGCAACGAUACAUAGCCGACCUGAGAGGGGGAUCGGCCAAACUGGGACUGGAGCACGGCCCAGACUCCUACGGGAGGCAGCAGUAAGGAAACUUUGGCAAUGGACGGAAGUCUGAACGGGCAAAGGCGGGUGAGUGAAGGAGGUUUUCGGAUCGUAAAGCUCUGUUGUUAGGGAAGAACGAGUGUGGGAGUGGAAAGUGCACACUGUGACGGUAUCUUACCAGAAAGGGACGGCUAACUACGUG